rnacentral:rRNA from 1 species
CAGUCGUACCGGCGGAUAAUCAGCCUUUUCGGGUGCGAUUCUGUGGGCGUGAGGAGCUUAACCGCCUUCAUGUUUUGCAUAUUCGUGCACAUUUGGUGUACUUGUCCGUGUGGUGGGUUAACAUCAAUUUCGGCGUUCAUAAAAUGAUUGGAGAAUGUAGCUUUAGUCUCGUAUCGAAGUUGUUA